UAGUGGCGGACGGGUGAGUAACGCGUGAGAAUCUGCCCUCAGGAGGGGGAUAACGGUUGGAAACGACCGCUAAUACCCCAUAUGCCGAGAGGUGAAAGGAAUUUCUGCCUAAGGAGGAGCUCGCGUCUGAUUAGCUAGUUGGUAGGGUAAAGGCCUACCAAGGCGACGAUCAGUAGCUGGUUUGAGAGGAUGAUCAGCCACACUGGGACUGAGACACGGCCCAGACUCC
rnacentral:rRNA from 1 species